AUUUCCUACGGGAGGCAGCAGUCGAGAAUCAUUCACAAUGGGGGAAACCCUGAUGGUGCGACGCCGCGUGGGGGAAUGAAGGUGUUCUGAUUGUAAACCCCUGUCAUGUGGGAGCAAAUUAAAAAGAUAGUACCACAAGAGGAAGAGACGGCUAACUCUGUGCCAGCAGCCGCGGUAAUACAGAGGUCUCAAGCGUUGUUCGGAAUCACUGGGCGUAAAGCGUGCGUAGGCUGUUUCGUAAGUCGUGUGUGAAAGGCGCGGGCUCAAUCCGCGGACGGCACAUGCUACUGCGUGCC
rnacentral:rRNA from 1 species